AGAGUUUGAUCAUGGCUCAGGAUUAACGCUGGCGGCAUGCCUAAUACAUGCAAAUCGAACGCAAUGUUUUACAUUGAGUGGUGAACGGGUGAGUAACACGUAUCCAAUCUACCUUUAAGUGGGGGAUAACUAGCCGAAAGGUUAGCUAAUACCGCAUGCACUAGUGAAAUCGCAUGAUUUUAUUAGUAAAGUUCCGUUUGGAACGCUUUUAGAUGAGGGUGCGGCGUAUCAGAUAGUUGGUGAGGUAACGGCCCACCAAGUCAAUGACGCGUAUCUGUGCUGAGAGGCAAAACAGACACAAUGGGACUGAGACACGGCCCAUACUCCUACGGGAGGCAGCAGUAGGGAAUUUUUCACAAUGGACGAAAGUCUGAUGGAGCAAUGCCGCGUGAAUGAUGAAGGUCUUACAGAUUGUAAAAUUCUUUUAUUUGGAACGAACAGCCUAAAUAGGAAAUGAUUUAGGUCUGACGGUACCAUUUGAAUAAGUAUCGGCUAACUAUGUGCCAGCAGCCGCGGUAAUACAUAGGAUGCAAGCGUUAUCCGGAUUUACUGGGCGUAAAACGAGCGCAGGCGGAUAAGCAAGUCUGGCAUGAAAUACGGUUGCUUAACAAUCGUAUGUGUUAGAAACUGCUUGUCUAGAGUGUGGUAGGGAGUUUUGGAAUUCCAUGUGAAGCGGUGAAAUGCGUAGAUAUAUGGAAGAACACCAGUGGCGAAGGCGAAAACUUAGGCCAUAACUGACGCUUAGGCUCGAAAGUGUGGGGAGCAAAUAGGAUUAGAUACCCUGGUAGU
rnacentral:rRNA from 1 species